GUACGUCAGAUCCUCGCUUUUCUAAACAAACAUGCAACAUAUUCAUGGCAGAAGUAUCUUUGGCAACAAGCUAAACAAGCUCUCGCAUGACAAGCAUCUAAGAAAACACUAAACAGUUGCUAAUUAAUGUUAUUUCCAACACAGUAUGGAAGAUAAUUUUUAAAAUGACUAUCGGAAAUGAUAUAUGUAUGAUGGAGUGCGUUUCAGCUAAACCGAAGGAAACAAAUAUAUACAUGCCUUAGAAAAUAGGCAAUGUCGAACACAUGUGGACUGCCAAAUGUUACGAAUUUCCUCACUGACAGUGUCAGAUGAAAGAUGGAAGACCUGCAGGAUCAGAGAUUGCAAGAGUACUUGUAAAUGCCAUGGCACUGAAUUUUAUCAACUACGUUUUUACUACAUGUAGCAGGUGUUCUGUGUUUGUGGCUAUAUAUUCAACUCCCAAUUGAUUUCACUUCACAACCCAGAAAGUCUCUUUUAAACCCCUACAAAUAAAAAGAUGUGAGGUGCAGCUAGUAAUACA